GACGAACGCUGGCGGCGUGCUUAUCACAUGCAAGUCGAACGGAAAGGCCCUGCUUUUGUGGGGUGCUCGAGUGGCGAACGGGUGAGUAACACGUGAGUAACCUGCCCUUGACUUUGGGAUAACUUCAGGAAACUGGGGCUAAUACCGGAUAGGAGCUCCUGCUGCAUGGUGGGGGUUGGACAGUUUCGGCGGUUGGGGAUGGACUCGCGGCUUAUCAGCUUGUUGGUGGGGUAGUGGCUUACCAAGGCUUUGACGGGUAGCCGGCCUGAGAGGGUGACCGGCCACAUUGGGACUGAGAUACGGCCCAGACUCCUACGGGAGGCAGCAGUGGGGAAUAUUGCACAAUGGGCGGAAGCCUGAUGCAGCAACGCCGCGUGCGGGAUGACGGCCUUCGGGUUGUAAACCGCUUUCGCCCGUGACGAAGCGUGAGUGACGGUAAUGGGUAAAGAAGCACCGGCUAACUACGUG
rnacentral:rRNA from 1 species